rnacentral:rRNA from 1 species
GAUGAACGCUGGCGGCGUGCCUAAUACAUGCAAGUCGAGCGAACGGACGAGAAGCUUGCUUCUCUGAUGUUAGCGGCGGACGGGUGAGUAACACGUGGAUAACCUACCUAUAAGACUGGGAUAACUUCGGGAAACCGGAGCUAAUACCGGAUGAUAUUUUGAACCGCAUGGUUCAAAAGUGAAAGACGGUCUUGCUGUCACUUAUAGAUGGAUCCGCGCUGCAUUAGCUAGUUGGUAAGGUAACGGCUUACCAAGGCAACGAUGCAUAGCCGACCUGAGAGGGUGAUCGGCCACACUGGAACUGAGACACGGUCCAGACUCCUACGGGAGGCAGCAGUAGGGAAUCUUCCGCAAUGGGCGAAAGCCUGACGGAGCAACGCCGCGUGAGUGAUGAAGGUCUUCGGAUCGUAAAACUCUGUUAUUAGGGAAGAACAUAUGUGUAAGUAACUGUGCACAUCUUGACGGUACCUAAUCAGAAAGCCAAGGCUAACUACGUG